rnacentral:rRNA from 1 species
AUGGCCGCCGUCGCCGCAGGUCAUGGUCGCGAUGACGUCGAUGCACCUGCCAAUGAGCUGCACCUUGUCGGACGCCGGGAGGAGCUCCUCGGCCCUGCGGAGCGCGGUGACUGCGCCCUCGAGGCUCGCCAGCGCAACCUCCUCCAGGUAGGCCUCGGUCCGGCCGACGAGGUUCCCGGGCUUGCACUCCUCGGUCAUCUCCAGGUGCUCGGCGGCGCAGCGCAGCAUGGCGACGUUGUCGGCGGUGAUCUCGAAGUUGACGCCGUAGCAGAACUUGAUGACGAGGUCGAACGCCUUGGCGUCGCCGGGCAUGCCAGCGAUCUCGAGGUGGGUGACCCUCGACCCGUUGGCCCCCGACACCAGCUUCCUUAUGUAGCCGCAUUUAGACGCCAGUGGGAGCUGCAGAAUUUGCCAUCAGAACUCAGGAUUUUUGCUGAUUUUUCCAUGUGGUUUCUAAGCGCGCGGUAA